rnacentral:rRNA from 1 species
GUCCACGCCGUAAACGAUGGAUGCUAGCCGUCGGCCAGCUUGCUGGUCGGUGGCGCAGCUAACGCUUUAAGCAUCCCGCCUGGGGAGUACGGCCGCAAGGUUAAAACUCAAAGGAAUUGACGGGGGCCAGCACAAGCGGUGGAGCAUGUGGUUUAAUUCGACGCAACGCGAAGAACCUUACCAGCCCUUGACAUGAUCUGGAAGCUCCGCAGAGACGUGGGGCGCCGCAAGGCCGGAUCACAGGUGUUGCAUGGCUGUCGU